GACGAACCGUGCAAACGUUAUUCGGAAUCACUGGGCUUAAAGCGUGCGUAGGCGGCUCAGAAAGUUGGGUGUGAAAUGCCUCGGCUCAACCGAGGAAUUGCGCCCAAAACUACUGGGCUUGAGGGAGUUAGAGGUGAGCGGAACUCACGGUGGAGCGGUGAAAUGCGUUGAUAUCGUGAGGAACACCGGAGGCGAAAGCGGCUCACUGGGGCUUCACUGACGCUGAGGCACGAAAGCUAGGGGAGCAAAC
rnacentral:rRNA from 1 species